CCCAUCCUCAGAAAGGCAGCCUAAGCAAACAGGAAGGAUAUACAAAAUUGGAUAUGAAGAAAUUCUCUGACUGGAUUAUUAUUAGCAUCCUUACUUUAGAGAAAAGGUAUGUAAUGUGUUCAGAAGCUAGACGAGCAAAGCAGGAAUAGGGCUGACAUGAAUGUUGCUGCCACUCUCCAGCUACCAUUCAAAAUCCGAAAUCUGCUUCUGCCUUCGACACUCUGUCCUUUCCAGAGAGCUAUGCCCACAGAGCAAGCUGCUUACAGGGAAAAGCUGCGGAGGAUGCUCUGACUUCUGAAUGACGGUUACCCACUCAAAUCCAGUUUCGGUGGAAACAUGAGAAGGAAAGACUAUCCCAUUGGCUCAUGUGAUGGGUGAAGGGCACAGGGACCUGAACUAUAGCUGCUUCCAUCAAGCCAAAUCUGAGCCUCAGUUCUGCAUUGAUGGAAACCAUGGGAGCACCAUCUGGUACAACCUGUGCAUGGGGCCAGUCAAAUGAAAGGCAGUCACUGAAGGAUGCCCAGAUUUCAUUAGAGGAGAGAAAGAGAAAAUGGGCAUACCAGGGCCUCCAGCUGUUGCAAACAAACUCCAG